CCUACGAGGAGCAGCAGUGAGGAAUAUUGGUCAAUGGACGAGAGUCUGAACCAGCCAAGUAGCGUGAAGGAUGACUGCCCUAUGGGUUGUAAACUUCUUUUAUAUGGGAAUAAAAUGUUCCACGUGUGGGAUUUUGUAUGUACCAUAUGAAUAAGGAUCGGCUAACUCCGUGCCAGCAGCCGCGGGACUACGGCGGCGCCGAGCGUUAGCCGGAUUUAUUGGGUUUAAAGGGAGCGUAGGUGGAUUGUUAAGUCAGUUGUGGAAGUUUGAGGCGCAACCGUAAAAUUGCAGUUGAAACUGGCAGUCUUGAGUACAGUAGAGGUGGGCGGAAUUCGUGGUGUAGCGGGGAAAUGCUUAGAUAUCACGAAGAACUCCGAUUGCGAAGGCAGUUCACUGGACUGCAACUGACACUGAGGCUCGAAAGUGUGGGUAUCAAACAGGAUUAGAUACCCUAGUAGUC
rnacentral:rRNA from 1 species